AGCGAACGCUGGCGGCAGGCCUAACACAUGCAAGUCGAACGAACUCGUCGGAGUUAGUUGCGGACGGGGGAGGAACACGUGGGAACGAGCCCGUAGGUUCGGUAUAACUCAGGGAAAGUUGUCCUAAUACCGAUGGGGCUCUUCGGGGGUAAGAUUUAUCGCUGUUAGCGCGGCCCGGGUCUGAUUCGGUGGUUGGGGAGGGAAAGGCUGACCAAGGCGACGUUCAGGAGCUGGUGUGAGAAGAUGCUCAGCCACAUUGGGCGUGAGACCCGGGCCACACUCCUACGGGAGGCAGCAGUAGGGAAUCUUGCGCAAUGGGCGAAAGCCUGACGCAGCCAUGCCGCGUGAAUGAUGAAGGUCUUAGGAUUGUAAAAUUCUUUCUCCGGGGACGAUAAUGACGGUACCCGGAGAAGAAGCCCCGGCUAACUUCGUG
rnacentral:rRNA from 1 species